rnacentral:rRNA from 1 species
AUGGUCAGGAAGGAGAAGACCACCACCGGCAUGAGGCUCCCGCCCCAGCACCAGGGGCUGGAGGUCAAGAUCCCCAGCUUCUUCCGCUGCCCGAUCUCGCUCGACGUCAUGCGCUCGCCGGUCAGCCUCUGCACCGGCGUCACCUACGACCGCGCCUCCAUACAGCGGUGGCUCGACUCCGGCAACACCACCUGCCCGGCCACCAUGCUACCGCUCCCGUCCACGGACCUCACGCCCAACCUCACCCUCCGCAGCCUCAUCUCCCACUGGUCCGCCUCCGCCGCCUCCUGCUCGCCCAUCGCCGGAUCCGCGGCGUUCUUCGCCGGCCCCUCCCCCGCGGCGCUCGUCCGCCAGGUCGCCUCCUCCGGCGCCGACCCCUCCGCCGCGCUCCGCGAGCUGGCGGCCUAUCUCUCCGACGACGACCUCGACGAGUUCGAGAAGAACGCGCUAGUCGGCGCCGGCUCCGCCGCGGAGACCGUCGCGUCCGUGCUUAGACGGAAGGGUGAGCAAAUAAGCGUCGCGGGUGCGGAGGCGGCCGUGCGGGUUCUCGCCGCGAUCGUGGCGCUGGAUGGCAUCGAGGACGCGAACAAGAGGCGGGUUGCCGCCGGCCUCGCCGUGGACGCGGCAGCCUCGGCGGCGUCGCUGGCCCGCGUCCUGCGGGGCGGGAGCGGCUUGGAGGCCAGAAUUGACGCGGCGAGGCUCGCGGAGUUCUUGCUCGCCAAUGCCGGCGCCGAGGCAAAGGUGGCUAUGGCCGAAUCGUCCGAGCUGGUGGCGGAGCUGGUACGGCUCGUCGGGCCCGUCGACGAGAAGGGCGGCCUUGACAAGAAGGCCAUGGACACCGGCCUCAGCUGCCUUGCGGCCAUCGCAGGGUCGCGGCGCGCGGCGCGCGCCGACAUGGUGCGCCUGGGCGCUGUCCCGGCCGCGGCGCGCGCGCUCCACGCCACGACGGAGCCUAGCUCGUCAGCAAAAGCCCUCCGGAUCCUCGAGUCCGCCGUGGGCUGCGCCGAGGGCCGGGCGGCGCUGUGCAAGGACGCGGAGCUGACCGUUCCUGCCGUGCUUGACAAGAUGAUGAAGUCCGGCCGCGACGGCGCCGAGGCUGCGGUGGCCGUGCUCUGGGCGGUGUGCCACAAGUACAAGGACCGCAGGGCCGCGGAGGCCGCAGCGGCGUCCGAGGGCGGGCUGACGAGGCUGAUUCUGCUGCUCCAGAGCGGGUGCUCGGCGGCGGCGAGGCAGAUGGCGCUGGAGCUGCUCAAGAUUUACAAGGUGAACGCCAAGAGCUGCCUCGCCGGAUACGAUUCCAAGACCGCCCACAUCAUGCCGUUCUAG